UCAUAAAUUCACAAUUUCAAUUCGCAGUGCAAUUCACAUUUCACAAUCCAAUUCACAAUUUCACAAUAUCAAUUCACCUUUCAAUUCGCAAAUUCACAAUGCAAUUUAUACUAUUUCACAAUCCAAUUCACAAUUUCACAUUAUCAAUCCAAUUUUACAAUAUCAAUUUACCUUCCAAUUCAUAAUUUCACAAUGCAAUUUAUACUAUUUUACAAUCCAAUUCACAAUUUCACAUUAUCAAUUCACCUUCCAAUUCGCAAUUUCACAAUGCAAUUUAUAUUAUUUCCAAAUCUUAAGCAACUUGAACUUACAAUUUCACACUGUGGUUCGCAAUUUCCAAUCCAAAGCAGGUACGGGUGACGGCUCCAAAAUUGAAAACGAGUGCUGCACCUGUUGAACGCAGUUAUGCAAU
rnacentral:lncRNA from 1 species